CUUUAUUUGUGUGGUUUGAAAUGAAUGCAGAAGAACUUUGUCGGCGUUCGCGCCAUGUUUUCAAUUGGUUGGUUGCAGUAUUUGCUGCUGUUCAUUUGGUAUGUUGAAAUAUCAAACAGUCAACAUCCACAAGCCACUCAGGAAUUUCUGGACAGCUUGUGCAAAUAUGAAACUUAUGCUAACCUAGCAGCAGCCAAGAAUAUGUAUGAUAUGCAAAUUGACGACGGGUCCGUUUGGUUUUUCUUCAUGUCGGCUUUGCGGGAUAUUUGCGGAGAUGAUUCGUACCUGCAUCCGAAUCGAUGACAUCGUUAUUAGAAAAGAAGAUUGCCUGAAAUAAACCUAACCAGACGUGACUGCUGUUUUUGGCAGCGAA